GACGAACGCUGGCGGCGUGCCUAAUACAUGCAAGUAGAACGCUGAAGGAGGAGCUUGCUUCUCUGGAUGAGUUGCGAACGGGUGAGUAACGCGUAGGUAACCUGCCUGGUAGCGGGGGAUAACUAUUGGAAACGAUAGCUAAUACCGCAUAAGAGUAGAUGUUGCAUGACAUUUGCUUAAAAGGUGCAAUUGCAUCACUACCAGAUGGACCUGCGUUGUAUUAGCUAGUUGGUGGGGUAACGGAUUACCAAGGCGACGAUACAUAGCCGACCUGAGAGGGGGAUCGGCCACACUGGGACUGAGACACGGCCCAGACUCCUACGGGAGGCAGCAGUAGGGAAUCUUCGGCAAUGGACGGAAGUCUGACCGAGCAACGCCGCGUGAGUGAAGAAGGUUUGCGGAUCGUAAAGCUCUGUUGUAAGAGAAGAACGAGUGUGAGAGUGGAAAGUUCACACUGUGACGGUAUCGUACCAGAAAGGGACGGCUAACUA
rnacentral:rRNA from 1 species